GUUCCUCUCCCUUUCUCUCUCUCAUAGUUUCCUUCUUGAAGAGGUUUUGAGAACCAAGGCUUUAGACCCCAAUCUGGUUGUGGUGGGAUUCAAGAGAGUUAGAGUACUGAUGAAGAAAGCUAGCAACAACAAGAAGGGCAUCUUCAACCAAGGAUUUCGUUUUUAGAAGGGAUUACUGCAAGGCUUGGGGGAAAAGGAUCGUGCUCGGGAUCGUAUUACUGCUUGCACAGGACUCGAGGGGUCAGAUUCGGCGAUAAUCACGCGUAGUGUAGGCAGUGAUGGCUUGACCAUUAUAGGGUUGCGGUAAGGGCAAGGCUGAGCUGGAUCAUCGAUGAGUUGGAGAGCUCUGGGGCGGCACAUACAUACUUAGUCUACUCGACCGCCACAGUCGAGAUUAUUUUUUAGGGAUUGGGGUUAGAGUUUAGCUUCUGCCGCUUAGGUCAGCUAUUUCCGUAAUUCUGAAAAUGAUGUAUUUUGGUUUUAACUCUUUUGGGAUCCCUAUAAUAUUUAAACUCGUUAAUGAAAAUUUUUAACUCUUUUGACCAAAAUUUUUAAUACCUAAAUUGUUAUUUAUCUAUAAUUUCAUGUGUUAAAGUCCAAAUGACUCUCGUUUAAUGAGUUAAGCACUAUUUUUAAACAUAUAGUUUAAUGGUCCUGAAUUAGAAGGACAUUACAAAUUGUAACCCACAUUUUUAUUGUUGUUUUAGUACGGGGGAAUGUUUUGUGAUUUUAGAUAGUUUUGCUUUUGGUAUUUUGAUUUGAGAUGUAAUUAAUUUUGAAUUAUAAUUUUAAAUUGUUUUGGUUUUGGAUUCUGA